rnacentral:piRNA from 1 species
UCCGAGGUCUUUGAGACUGUAUACUUUUG